UUAUGGUGCUGAAUACCAGUUGCUUCUACUUUUGAUUGGUUAAGUGUUUUAAUUACUUUUCCUCUUGCCGUGAUAAAAUUCUCUGACAAAAGCAACUUAUGAGAGAAAAGGCUUCUUUUCACUCACAGUUCCAGGAUAGAGUUCAUCACGGCAGAGGAAUCAUUGAAGUAAGAGCUUGGAGCGGAUGGCCACAUUGCAUUCACGGUCAAGAAGCAGAGAGCAUUGAGUUCCUGGGGUCAGCUUGCUUUCUCUCUCUUUAUGGAGCCCCAUUCAGGAAAUGGGCAGGCCUUCUGACUUCAAUGAACCUAUUCAAGUUAAUGUCACACAGGCGCACCGAGUUAACCGGGUCCUGUGAGAGACUGCCAGAGACACUAUUUUGGAGCUUCAGAAAGCUGGCUGAGACCAAGAAGAACUGAGUUGAUAGGAAUCCAACAUCUCAGUUUCAACAUCAGCAAUCCUGAAAAAAAAAAAAAAAAAAAAGCGACAUUUGGAGAAACUUGUGGACUUUUUCCCCCCUUAUUUCUUUUAAUGUGACCUGUAUCAUUGAAAGUUUCAAUUUCUUCCAGCUGUUCUCACAGCGCCCUGUUCACCCAACCAUAUAAUUUGUAUAUAGUAAUCUGAAAAUAGAUCUCAUGUGAAUUAAAUAACAGAUGUAUGAGUUCAA